rnacentral:rRNA from 1 species
GCUCCUUUUAAAGACUAAACCAUGCAAAUCUAAGUAAAUUGAUGUUAAAUAUAGAAACGGUAGAGAGCUCAUUAAAACAGUUUGAAAGGAUGAAAUUAACUUUAUAAAUUUUAUUUAUAAAACUGGAUAUUUCAUCGAAUUGAUGAAUUAAUACGUUGUAACGGAACUUGAGAAAACCUUUAUUGGUUUGAAAGUGAAUUUAUUGAAAGAGAAUUUUAGACUAGAAUUCUCAAUUUUUGGAAGUUCUAUAGGUGACCAUAUCGAUUUGCUGCUUCUGCAGUUUUUCGAAGCUGUUCGUUUCAUACUGAUUUAUCAACUAGUUUGUCGUACCUUUGACUACAAAGGUAUUUACGGAUAACGAAAGAUUAGGGUUUGACUUCGGAGAGGUGGCCUGAGACAUUGCCACCACUUCCAAGGAAGGCAGCAGGUGCGAAAAUUACUCAAUGACACAUCGUCGAAGUAGUGACGAAAAUUACCAGAAUUGGGUCCUUUUAGGAACAGUGUCUGGGAUGAGAACAAUUUAAAACCACAAUUUAAAACCAUUAACAAGAAACAAUUAGAGGGCAAGUCUGGUGCCAGCAGCCGCGGUAAUUCCAGCUCUAAGAGUGUAUUUGAAAGUUGCUGCAGUUAAAAAGCCCAUAGCUGAUAUUAUUGAGAUAGGGUACAUAGAGUUCUAAGCGAUUAGAUCUCUAGUACAUAGAUUAACGAGACUCGAAUUUUAGCAACCGGACUUGGAAACAAGUAACGAGCCCUCUAUGCCUUACGCAGUAUAGAGGUAAAUUAGAAUAGAUUAACUGUGAGUAAAUUAGGGUGUUCAUCACAGGCUUUAUAGCUUUGAAUACAUUAGCAUGGUAUUACGAAAUAUGACAUAUUGUUAGCAAGACUUGAGGUGCUUGCACAGUUACAUGAUAUGUAAUGAGGAAUGAGAAUUGUUGGGGUUACCUUUAUUCACUGGGAAGAGGUGAAAUUCUAUGAUCCAGUGAAGAAACACUAAUGCAAAAGCACUUAACCAAGAUGUUUUUGUCAGUCAAGGACGAAAGUUCAGGGCGCGAAGAUGAUUAGAUACCAUCGUAGUCUGAACAGUAAACAAUGUUGAUUUAGGAUCAGGAAUCAUUUAUUAUGACUUUCCUGGCACUAUACGAGAAAUCUAGAAUAUUCGAACUCUGGGGGUAGUAUAGUCGCAAGACCGAAACUUAAAAGAAUUGACGGAAGAGCACCACCAGGCGUG